UACGUAGGGGGCAAGCGUUGUCCGGAUUUAUUGGGCGUAAAGAGCGUGUAGGCGGCUAGAUAGGUCCGUUGUGAAAACUCGAGGCUCAACCUCGAGACGCCGGUGGAAACCAUCUAGCUAGAGUCCGGAAGAGGAGAGUGGAAUUCCUGGUGUAGCGGUGAAAUGCGCAGAUAUCAGGAGGAACACCGGUGGCGAAGGGGGUCUCUGGGCCGUAACUGACGCUGAGGAGCGAAAGCGUGGGGAGCGAACAGG
rnacentral:rRNA from 1 species